CUGUUGUUAGGGAAGAACAAGUGCUAGUUGAAUAAGCUGGCACCUUGACGGUACCUAACCAGAAAGCCACGGCUAACUACGUGCCAGCAGCCGCGGUAAUACGUAGGUGGCAAGCGUUAUCCGGAAUUAUUGGGCGUAAAGCGCGCGCAGGUGGUUUCUUAAGUCUGAUGUGAAAGCCCACGGCUCAACCGUGGAGGGUCAUUGGAAACUGGGAGACUUGAGUGCAGAAGAGGAAAGUGGAAUUCCAUGUGUAGCGGUGAAAUGCGUAGAGAUAUGGAGGAACACCAGUGGCGAAGGCGACUUUCUGGUCUGUAACUGACACUGAGGCGCGAAAGCGUGGGGAGCAAACAGGAUUAGAUACCCUGGUAGUCCACGCCGUAAACGAUGAGUGCUAAGUGUUAGAGGGUUUCCGCCCUUUAGUGCUGAAGUUAACGCAUUAAGCACUCCGCCUGGGGAGUACGGCCGCAAGGCUGAAACUCAAAGGAAUUGACGGGGGCCCGCACAAGCGGUGGAGCAUGUGGUUUUAAUUCGAAGCAACGCGAAGAACCUUACCAGGUCUUGACAUCCUCUGACAACCCUAGAGAUAGGGCUUCUCCUUCGGGAGCA
rnacentral:rRNA from 1 species